AGUGAACGCUGGCGGCAGGCCUAACACAUGCAAGUCGAACGGCAGCACAAGAGAGCUUGCUCUCUGGGUGGCGAGUGGCGGACGGGUGAGGAAUGCAUCGGAAUCUGCCCAUUUGUGGGGGAUAACCUCGGGAAACCGGGACUAAUACCGCAUACGACCUACGGGUGAAAGCAGGGGAUCUUCGGACCUUGCGCAGAUGGAUGAGCCGAUGCCGGAUUGGCUAGUUGGAGGGGUAAAGGCCCACCAAGGCGACGAUCCGUAGCUGGUCUGAGAGGAUGAUCAGCCACACUGGGACUGAGACACGGCCCAGACUCCUACGGGAGGCAGCAGUGGGGAAUAUUGGACAAUGGGCGCAAGCCUGAUCCAGCCAUGCCGCGUGUGUGAAGAAGGCCUUCGGGUUGUAAAGCACUUUUGUUGGGAAAGAAAAGCAGCCGGUUAAUACCCGGUUGUCAUGACGGUACCCAAAGAAUAAGCACCGGCUAACUUCGUG
rnacentral:rRNA from 1 species